UACAGAGGGGGCAAGCGUUGUUCGGAAUUACUGGGCGUAAAGGGCGCGUAGGCGGCCUGCUAAGUCGAACGUGAAGUCCCUGGGCUCAACCCAGGAACUGCGUCCGAUACUGGUUGGCUUGAAUCCGGGAGAGGGAUGUGGAAUUCCAGGUGUGGCGGUGAAAUGCGUAGAUAUCUGGAGGAACACCGGUGGCGAAGGCGACAUCCUGGACCGGCAUUGACGCUGAGGAGCGAAAGCCAGGGGAGCAAACGGG
rnacentral:rRNA from 1 species